rnacentral:circRNA from 1 species
CUCAUUUGAUAUAGUCAUCGUUGGUGGCGGAAUUGUGGGGCUUGCCUCUGCCAGAGCACUCAUCCUGCGACAUCCAUCACUUUCUAUUGGUGUUCUGGAAAAGGAGAAAGAUUUAGCUGUUCACCAGACUGGACAUAACAGUGGUGUCAUACAUAGUGGAAUUUAUUAUAAACCUGAGUCUCUGAAAGCCAAAUUAUGUGUACAAGGUGCAGCCCUCCUCUAUGAGUACUGUCAGCAAAAGGGAAUUUCCUACAAGCAGUGUGGCAAGCUUAUAGUAGCUGUUGAACAAGAAGAAAUUCCCAGACUUCAGGCCCUAUAUGAGAAAGGCCUCCAGAAUGGUGUCCCGGGCCUGAGGCUGAUCCAGCAGGAGGAUAUAAAAAAGAAGGAGCCAUAUUGUAGGGGUCUAAUGGCUAUUGAUUGUCCACAUACUGGCAUUGUGGACUAUCGGCAGGUGGCUUUGUCAUUUGCCCAGGAUUUCCAAGAAGCAGGUGGCUCUGUCUUGACCAAUUUUGAAGUAAAAGGUAUUGAAAUGGCUAAAGAAAGUCCUUCAAGAAGUAUAGAUGGAAUGCAAUAUCCAAUUGUUAUAAAGAAUACAAAGGGAGAGGAAAUUCGAUGUCAGUAUGUUGUGACAUGUGCAGGACUUUACUCAGACCGUAUUUCAGAGUUGAGUGGCUGCACUCCUGAUCCUCGAAUUGUACCAUUCCGGGGAGAUUACCUGCUUUUGAAGCCAGAAAAAUGUUAUCUUGUAAAAGGAAAUAUUUAUCCGGUCCCAGAUAGCCGGUUUCCUUUCCUAGGAGUUCACUUCACACCAAGGAUGGAUGGCAGUAUUUGGCUAGGGCCUAAUGCAGUUCUUGCCUUUAAACGAGAGGGUUACAGACCCUUUGACUUCAGUGCCACAGAUGUUAUGGAUAUAAUUAUCAAUAGUGGCUUGAUUAAACUGGCAUCCCAGAAUUUUUCCUAUGGAGUUACUGAAAUGUAUAAAGCAUGUUUUCUUGGUGCAACAGUGAAGUAUCUUCAAAAAUUCAUCCCUGAAAUUACUAUCAGUGAUAUACUUAGGGGCCCAGCUGGAGUAAGAGCCCAGGCCCUGGAUAGAGAUGGAAAUCUGGUAGAAGAUUUUGUAUUUGAUGCAGGAGUUGGGGAUAUUGGAAAUCGCAUUCUUCAUGUGAGAAAUGCACCUUCUCCUGCUGCUACUUCUUCCAUUGCAAUUUCUGGAAUGAUUGCAGAUGAAGUACAACAAAGAUUUGAAUUAUAAAUAAUGAAAGGAGCUAG